ACAGAAGAAGUUCGUCUUCUUGAAAUAGAGUUCCUAGCGAACCGACAGUGAUGGAGGCAGACGAGCGGAGGCGACAGACUACCACCGCCGUCCGAAUCCAUGGAAACUGAAGAUGUACCUUCGGGUGAACCAUUCUCUGCUGAGGUUUUGGGCUUCGUUCGGCUUGCUGUGGAUCACUUUCAUAUGCUUGCUUGUUUUUCUCCUACUGCUUUCAUUGGCAACAAGACAUGCAGAGAUGGAAGCUGUUGUUGCACUUCUUGAACAGAGGCAGAGGACUCAUUUUCGGCUGCAGAAGUUGCAGAGAAGUUUUCAGCAUGCUCUCUUUACGUGACAACCAUGCAUAAUGUGUGCAAAUGAUAAAUUUGGAGGCUGUUGCUCAAUACUGUCGAGGUAUUCAAGUAGCUCUGACGCAUGCAUUAGCUCCAAAACCUCACAAGUAAUGGAGAUCUGCGUGGAUUGAUUCUUCCUGUUGAAUCCCCUCAUGAAUCCCCUCAUGGCUUUGCACGACCAGUUACUUGUGCCUAGAACAAGUGGGCUGCGUGGUGUGACCUUCUAUAGUGUAGCCCGUUAAAAGGGAGUGGUGAUGUUUCUUGCUGUGGCAGUGUACUUACAACUACAGAUUUCCUUCUAUGGUAAGUAGUCAAUCGCAACGAGGACGCAAUAAAGGUCUUCAAGAAGAAGUUAGACAACAUCCUUGCUCUUCAUCCCUGAUUGUAUUGUUCAUUUGACUAUAACCUAAGUCAAACUUGCUUUGGAACUAUAGUUGUGUGAGUGUUUGUAUUCUACCUGUAAAGCGCAAAUCUGGAUGUGACGUCAUUGAUGCUGAUUCAGUGAUUCUAGCAUAUCAAGUUUCUCUCCCGUUUUGUGUGUGAUGUCAGAACAAUUAAUUAUUUGUCUCAAGAUGUUACAAAAUUUAAUAAUCAUAGUGUGUUCAACAGCCUUUUAAGUAUAGAGAUCUGUGUGAAUGUUAUUGACGACGUUUUGCCUUAUUAUGGUAAGAGGAUGUAGUUAAACAUCUAGCAUCCCAGAAGUGUCUUCAAAUGAUUCAGUGCACUCUGACUAGCAAUGUAUGUGCCAUUAACUGCUUUUCCAAUCCCAGAAUUUCAUCAAGGGACCUGCGAAAGGAAGCGUGAUGCAUAUCCAGAUCAGUUUUUGGCCGAAUGUUCAUGCGUUUACUCGGGGUUGCAGCUGUGAUCGGAAGUCCAUUCCGUGCUUUAACUUGAUUAUCAGAUUGUAAAGAUAAUUGAUGUCAUAAACAAUGUAGGCAUCACUUUUCUCAUGCUAAUCUUUGUCAUCUAUAUAGUCUGUAAUCUAGCUUGAUUUUCAUUUUGAGUUUUUUGAUCUUUGAGAUUAUUCGGGGUUUGCUGUUAAUGUGUCUGAGCCUCAUAAUUAUGGACUAUAUAGUGUGCAUGAUCCCUAGGGAUGAUAAAA